AUUUAACCCUUCUCUUUUGUCAAGUUGUCAAGAUUAGCCCUUGAGUGAAUUUUGUAACAAAUGAGUACGCUGGGCGUACUAGGGAGUACGUUGCGCGUACUCAUGCGCUUAAUUUGGACGCAGACUCGCCUAGGUACGUUGGGUGUAGGGGGCCAGAUGCAAACCCUAAUAUUUGGCUUGUGCACUAUAUAAGGAAUGCUAAGGCUUUAUCCUUAGCCACCAUGUCAGAGAGUGAAACCCUAAUAGAGCAUUUCCUUCGUCCUUAAGCUUGUGUGUGAGUGUUUUGAGCUAAAAGUGCCUUUGUGUGUUAGUGAAGAAGAAGGAGAGGAGCUUGUGGAGGCUAGGGCUUGAAGUGCAAGUUUGGAUCUGAGUUCUUCAGAGAGAGGAGCUUCAUCCAGAGGCGGAGGCUAGACUGGAUUUUUACCGAGCUCGAGAUUACCGAGUUACCCGAGGUACCAGUGAGGAUCGCGGGAAGGCGCCGACAUGAUCAGUACACACAUGAGGAGUUUUUACACAUUAUGAUCUUGGGUUGUGUUUCCAAGGAUUGAUAUGUGAUACAGUGACAUUUUUAUAAUAUUUAUGAAUGAAAGUGUGUUUUUAAAAUGUGAAAAAUUAUUUGAAGAAUUUGGGUGUUACAUAUUCAA